rnacentral:rRNA from 1 species
UACGAGGGGGGGCAAGCGUUGUUCGGAAUUAUUGGGCGUAAAGGGCGCGUAGGCGGCGCGGUAUGUCUCUUGUGAAAUCUCCAGGCUCAACUUGGAGUCUGCAAGGGAAACUGCCGUGCUUGAGUACUGGAGAGGUGAGUGGAAUUCCCGGUGUAGCGGUGAAAAUGCGUAGAUAUCGGGAGGAACACCUGUGGCGAAAGCGGCUCACUGGACAGUAACUGACGCUGAUGCGCGAAAGCUAGGGGGAGCAAACAGG